GCCAGUACCAGAUAAGCACAUUAAACUAUAAUCCAUAAACGUAAGGUAACAACCGAGACCUAAUGGUGCUGUGACAGCAACGCUGUGAUUGAGUUUGAGUUUACAGUGAAAAUACAUAUGGUAUGUUGUAUCUGAACAGGUUAGCUUACGAGCUAAAGUUACUUAGCACAGAUGAAAGUUAAAACAAAGACGUUUAUCAAACUGUUAAAGCUCACAAACCAUCGUCAUAUGAGAAAUCCGACGCUAUGACUCUCCACAAGUCGUCCUUCAGGUCGUUAUCUUUGUAAUAUUUGUGUCUUUUAUCAAAAAUCACUCUGUUCUCCGCCACGUAAACAAUCAGCCGGUCGGCCAUGUUGGAUAUACCGGUGAAUCUGACGUCGCAACAACACGAAAUCUGAUUGGUCAGAAGUGGACACACAGUAUGCGAAACUUAAGAAAAUUCAACUGUAAUACAAAAAAAUAAAUGCCGCAAUAUCGCAGGACGGGAA